rnacentral:lncRNA from 1 species
AGCAAGUGACAUUCAUCUUCUUUGUCUAAACCAUUCAUCUUCUUCUUUCAUUUCUAAAAGAAAAUACAGAACGAGUUUUUGUUCAUAAAGAAAAUGCAGAAUUUGAAACAAACACAAACCCAAUCAAAAUUUAUAACACUCUUCAUUCAUAAAUUCAUCAAAAUAUUCAAACACAACAUAUCUCCAAUUCAAUCUCCUUUUUUUCAUACUAUGCCAAAACUGAAUUCAUCCCAAAAGUGAAUGUGAAUUUGAACAUACCACUAUUGUGUUUAUGUCUCUUUGAAUACUAUGCCAAAACCCCAAACCCAAAGACACAAAUAACUUCUCACAAGUACAAAAUACAAGAGAUGGAGGAUGGAAAAUAAUCACACGGACAAGCUUGUCCAUCUUCUGCUAUUGACAAAACCAAACAACAAAUCACCAAAAAUCUCACUCACACUCACCGAAAGAUCCAGCAACAACAAACCAAAAAUCAAUUAACCAUGAAAUUACAAUAGAUUUCCAUAUGGUGACACCCGUUAUGGCCGCGGUUAACAAUAGAUAGAAAUUCCGGUAUGGUGGUGAUGUUUUCCGGUGAGGUGGUCGUCGGAGAAAUGUCAUCCUAACAUUUUGGUGGGUUUUGUAGGGAAUACGAAUGAGAUUACUUUUAUGGUGGCAAUUUGUUGAAAAACAUUCUCUGGUAGUCAAGAUCUAUCAAUGAAGGUGGCGGUUUGAAAACUCAAAAAAUAUUUUCAAUCGAAAAAUAAAUUUAUGAUGAGAUAGAGAAGGAAGAGAGAAUGAAUAUUAUGUAUUUUGUUUGACAAAGGAUGCCCAGAAAGAGUGGCCUGAAAAGAGGGAAGGAAGAGGAAGAAAGAAUUGACAACGCGUGAGGAAGAAAAGAAAGAAGAGAGUGUAGAGACGUGAUUCUCCCU